rnacentral:rRNA from 1 species
AAGAAUCGUGGAGGUAGAGCACUGAUUGGGUGCGGGGCCCGCAAGGGUUACCAAGCUCAGUCAAACUCCGAAUGCCAUAGAUUUAGUUCCGGGAGUCAGACAGUGAGUGCUAAGAUCCAUUGUCGAAAGGGAAACAGCCCAGACCAUCAGCUAAGGUCCCCAAGUGUGUGUUAAGUGGGAAAGGAUGUGGAGUUGCACAGACAACCAGGAUGUUGGCUUAGAAGCAGCCACCAUUGAAAGAGUGCGUAAUAGCUCACUGGUCGAGUGACUCUGCGCCGAAAAUGUAACGGGGCUAAACACACCACCGAAGCUAUGGCUUGAUGCUUUGCAUCAGGGGUAGGGGAGCGUUGAAUGCGGGUUGAAGGUGUACCGGAAGGAGCGCUGGACUGCAUUCAAGUGAGAAUGCCGGUAUGAGUAACGAAAAGAUCUGUGAGAAUCAGAUCCGCCGAAAGCCUAAGGGUUCCUGAGGAAGGUUCGUCCGCUCAGGGUAAGUCGGGACCUAAGGCGAGGCCGAUAGGCGUAGUCGAAGGACAACAGGUGGAAAUUCCUGUACCACCGUAAUCCGCUAUGAGCGAUGGGGUGACGCAGUAGGGUAGUGACGCGGACUGAUGGAUGUCCGUCUAAGCAGUGAGGCUGAUGUGUAGGCAAAUCCGCACAUCGUAAGGCUGGGCUGUGAUGGGGAGCGAAAAUUAUAGUAGCGAAGGUCAUGAUCUCAGACUGCCAAGAAAAGCCUCUAGCCAGGAGAAGGUGCCCGUACCGCAAACCGACACAGGUAGGCGAGAAGAGAAUUCUAAGGCGCGCGGAAGAACUCUCGUUAAGGAACUCGGCAAAAUGACCCCGUAACUUCGGGAGAAGGGGUGCCUCGGUAGGGUGAAUAGCCCGAGGGGGCCGCAGUGAAAAGGCCCAAGCGACUGUUUAGCAAAAACACAGGUCUGUGCGAAGCCGCAAGGCGAAGUAUACGGGCUGACGCCUGCCCGGUGCUGGAAGGUUAAGGGGAGUGGUAAGC